UACAGAGGGGGCUAGCGUUGUUCGGAAUUACUGGGCGUAAAGCGCGCGUAGUCGGCUUUGCAAGUCGGUUGUGAAAUCCCGGGCUCAACCCUGGGAACUGCAUCCGAGACUGCAUUGCUAGAGUAUGGGAGAGGAAAGCGGGAAUUUCUGGUGUAGCAGUGAAAUGCGUAGAUAUCAGAAGGAACAUCAGUGGCGAAGGCGGCUUCUGGACCAAUACUGACGAUCAGGUGCGAAAGCGUGGGAGCAAACAGG
rnacentral:rRNA from 1 species